rnacentral:lncRNA from 1 species
AAAAUGAAUAGUAUGAUAAACAAAGAUAGUCCCACUUGAUUAGUACUUGCUGUCUACUAUCUCUGGAACCCAAGCAUCUUCCACAACCACGCCAGCUUGCCUUGGCGCCGAACCAGGACCUACAAUGCACUUGUGACCACGCCCUAUCCCUUCGAUCCCUCUGCACAGCAACUCCUACUCCCUCCCUCCACUAGGGCUAAAUUAUCAUCUUAUAGCUAUUCUCUCACCCCAUAUGCCAAAAGUAAAUAUUUUAAUGUGUCAUGUAUCCUAUAACAAAUUUGUCGUAAAGUAGAGUGUCCACCAGCAAAUCGAUUUAUUUUUAGUUCCACUAGCAAAGCAACCUCACUCUUAAUGUGCACUAGCAAAUUUUGCCUUUCUUAAACCAAACACCAUAUCGCAAAAAAAAAAAAUCAAAUCGAUCCUACUGUUCUACUAACGAUAACAAAAUGGAUCCCAAAUAAGCAAAACGACAACCGUACGGAAUUAACCAGCUAUAGCUUGGCUACACAGUAACCAAUGCCCUGCAGUUUUGGUAGGUGGUGGUCAAUCCAGGGGCUUUCCUACUGGCCGGUUCUUGGUUAAGAUUCUCACCGUACGUCGAGAGCGG